rnacentral:rRNA from 1 species
UACGUAGGGUGCGAGCGUUAUUCGGAAUUACUGGGCGUAAAGCGUGCGCAGGCGGUUUUGUAAGCCAGAUGUGAAAUCCCCGGGCUCAACCUGGGAAUGGCAUUUGGGACUGCAAGGCUGGAGUGUGGCAGAGGAGACUGGAAUUCCUGGUGUAGCAGUGAAAUGCGUAGAUAUCAGGAGGAAUACCGAUGGCGAAGGCAGCCCCCUGGGUCAAAACUGACACUCAUGCACGAAAGCGUGGGGAGCAAACAGG